rnacentral:rRNA from 1 species
UACAGAGGGUGCGAGCGUUAAUCGGAAUUACUGGGCGUAAAGCGCACGUAGGCGGCUUGGUAUGUCGGGUGUGAAAUCCCCGGGCUCAACCUGGGAACUGCAUUUGUGACUGCACAGCUUGAGUGCGGCAGAGGGGGAUGGAAUUCCGCGUGUAGCAGUGAAAUGCGUAGAUAUGCGGAGGAACACCGAUGGCGAAGGCAAUCCCCUGGGCCUGCACUGACGCUCAUGCACGAAAGCGUGGGGAGCAAACAGG